AUUGAACGCUGGCGGAAGGCCUAACACAUGCAAGUCGAACGAGUGGCGGACGGGUGAGUAAUGUCUGGGAAACUGCCUGAUGGAGGGGGAUAACUACUGGAAACGUUAGCUAAUACCGCAUACCAUCGGAUGUGCCCAGGUGGGAUUAGCUAGUGGGUGGGGUAACGGCUCACCAAGGCGACGAUCCCUAGCUGGUCUGAGAGGAUGACCAGCCACACUGGAACUGAGACACGGUCCAGACUCCUACGGGAGGCAGCAGUGGGGAAUAUUGCACAAUGGGCGCAAGCCUGAUGCAGCCAUGCCGCGUGUAUGAAGAAGGCCUUCGGGUUGUAAAGUACUUUCAGCGGGGAGGCGUUACCCGCAGAAGAAGCACCGGCUAACUCCGUGCCAGCAGCCGCGGUAAUAC
rnacentral:rRNA from 1 species